rnacentral:rRNA from 1 species
UACGAAGGGGGCUAGCGUUGUUCGGAUUUACUGGGCGUAAAGGGUGCGUAGGCGGGUCUUUAAGUCAGGGGUGAAAUCCUGGAGCUCAACUCCAGAACUGCCUUUGAUACUGAAGAUCUUGAGUUCGGGAGAGGUGAGUGGAACUGCGAGUGUAGAGGUGAAAUUCGUAGAUAUUCGCAAGAACACCAGUGGCGAAGGCGGCUCACUGGCCCGAUACUGACGCUGAGGCACGAAAAGCGUGGGGGAGCAAACA